rnacentral:rRNA from 1 species
GUGGGGAAUAUUGGACAAUGGGCGAAAGCCUGAUCCAGCCAUGCCGCGUGUGUGAAGAAGGUCUUCGGAUUGUAAAGCACUUUAAGUUGGGAGGAAGGGCAGUAAGUUAAUACCUUGCUGUUUUGACGUUACCGACAGAAUAAGCACCGGCUAACUUCGUGCCAGCAGCCGCGGUAAUACGAAGGGUGCAAGCGUUAAUCGGAAUUACUGGGCGUAAAGCGCGCGUAGGUGGUUUUGUAAGUUGGAGGUGAAAUCCCCGGGCUCAACCUGGGAACUGCCUCCAAAACUGCAUGACUAGAGUACGGUAGAGGGUAGUGGAAUUUCCUGUGUAGCGGUGAAAUGCGUAGAUAUAGGAAGGAACACCAGUGGCGAAGGCGACUACCUGGACGGAUACUGACACUGAGGUGCGAAAGCGUGGGGAGCAAACAGGAUUAGAUACCCCAGUAGUCC